rnacentral:misc_RNA from 1 species
GUGAGUCAUCGAAUCUUUGAACGCACAUUGCGCCCUUUGGUAUUCCGAAGGGCAUGCCUGUUCGAGCGUCAUUACACCUUCUAUCAAGGUAUUGGGAGAUGCAUCUGCACUCCUUAAAAACAGUGGUGAUAACUGUCUACUCACGCAUAGUAAUCUCUGCGACGGAUACACAGUGACCGCACCGUAAUUCUCUUGUUUGACCUCGGAUCAGGUAGGGAUACCCGCUGAACUUAAGCAUAUCAAUAAGCGGAGGA